GGCUCUUUAGCUCAGUUGGUUAGAGCGUUCCCCUCAUAAGGGAGAGGUCGAUUGUUCGAUUCAAUCAAGAGCCA
rnacentral:tRNA from 10 species